UACAUUGGAUUGCCCGUAGACUGGCGGCGCCUUGACAUUCUGACUGACUCUGGGUUGCCGCUCUGCACUUGAGUGCUGUUAAGACUGCAGAAAAAAAUAGUUGACUUUGAAGCGAUUGCGACAUGUCAUUUUUCUCGUUGAAUACAGUUCUCAGCAACAUGGACCCCUGUGACCAGCCGGACCGAGAUUUUCGCAUCAUGGCGCUUACCGACUUGAGCAGGGAGUUGUCGGGAGAGCAGCUGAGGUUGACGAGCGGGGAUGAGAGGAGCAUCAUAGAGAAGCUGGGCAGCAUCAUAGUGAAUGAUUCUAUAGCAGAGGUGCAUUCUUUCGCGCUGAAGUGCGUACCGCCGUUGGUUGCGCGGUUGUCGAGGGAGAGCGUCGCGGUGUUGAUGGACGAGUUUUUGGAGUUGUCGUUGGGGAGGGGGUCGGAGAGGGUGGCGGAUUUGUCGGGAUCGGUGGUGAGGUUGGCGAUUGAGUGCAUGCCGGAGGAGAAUUUGUCGUGCUUGGUGGAGGGGUUGAUUCCGAAGUUGGUGGAGAAG